AGUGAACGCUGGCGGUAGGCCUAACACAUGCAAGUCGAACGGCAGCACAGUAAGAGCUUGCUCUUACGGGUGGCGAGUGGCGGACGGGUGAGGAAUACAUAGGAAUCUACUUUUUCGUGGGGGAUAACGUAGGGAAACUUACGCUAAUACCGCAUACGACCUACGGGUGAAAGCAGGAGAUCUUCGGACCUUGCGCGACUGAAUGAGCUGAUGUCGGAUUAGCUAGUUGGCGGGGUAAAGGCCCACCAAGGCGACGAUCCGUAGCUGAUCUGAGAGGAUGAUCAGCCACACUGGAACUGAGACACGGUCCAGACUCCUACGGGAGGCAGCAGUGGGGAAUAUUGGACAAUGGGCGCAAGCCUGAUCCAGCCAUACCGCGUGAGUGAAGAAGGCCUUCGGGUUGUAAAGCCCUUUUGUUGGGAAAGAAAAGCAGCAGGUUAAUACCCCGCUGUUCUGACGGUACCCAAAGAAUAAGCACCGGCUAACUUCGUG
rnacentral:rRNA from 1 species